rnacentral:rRNA from 1 species
CUGUCUCUUUUUAAAUUUUAUUUAAAUUUAAUUUUUAAGUUAAAAAGCUUAAAUUAUUUUAAAGGACGAGAAGACCCUAUAGAGUUUAAUAAUUUUAAUUUAAUAAAUUAUAAUUUUUAAUUUUAAAUUUAUUAAAAUUAUUUUGUUGGGGCGAUAGGAAAAUUUAAUAAACUUUUUUAAAUUUUAAACAAUUAUGUUUGAAUUAAUGAUCUUAGUAUUUAGAUUAAUAGAAUAAAUUACCUUAGGGA